rnacentral:rRNA from 1 species
AUGGUCACCAUGACGGCGACCAAGAAGCAGCCCUGCCGUGGCGCCGCCUCGCUCUCCUCGGCGUCCUCCUGGCCCUGGGGCUCCCGCAUUGCGCCGUCCAUUGCGCGGACGCACGGGAGGAAGAAGAAGAAGAGUGGCCGGGGAGGGAGCGGGAGCGGCGACGCCGUGGUUGUCCCGGCGAGGAGGUCGUCCGUCUACAAGGGCGUGACCAGGCACAGCAUCUCAGGGAGGUACGAGGCGCACCUGUGGGACAGGCAUUGCCGGAGCACGGCCCAGGGCAGGAGAGGCAAACAGGGAUGUUACAAGACUGAGGAGGAAGCAGCUCGCACCCAUGAUCUCGCGGCGCUCAAGUGCUGGGGCUCAGACUGCGGCCUUCUCAACUUCCCAGUGGACACGUACAGGCAGGAGCGCGAGAGGAUGCAGCGGAUGACACGGGAGGAGUACCUGGCGAGGCUGAGGCGCAACAGCAGUGGCUUCACAAGAGGCGUCUCCAAGUACAGGGGAGUUACAAGGCAUCACGCGAACGGCCGGUGGGAGGCGAGGAUCGGUUACGCUGCCGGCACGCAGUACUCCUACUUGGGAAUUUUCGAAACCCAGGAGGAGGCGGCCAGGGCCUACGACCUCGCCGCGAUACGAAUCCGCGGCCCCGGCGCCGUCACCAACUUCGACGCCGACUGCUACGUGGACAUCCCGCAGCCGCUCCCCUGCAAGGCCGAGCCGGACCCGGAGCCGGCCGCGGCUCGUCCAGGCCCGCCGGCGCCACUGCCGCCCAAGGUCGAGCCCAAGGAGGAGCCGGAGAACGACUUCGAGUUCGAGCGCGAGCCGCCGCCCGCCCCGGCGCUCCGCGAGGACGCCGACCGCGUGGACCGCGCCAUCGCCGAGGUCCUGCAGGCGCUCUGCGUGGACCGCGCCGACUUCGAGGCCAGGUACCCGCCCCGCCGCGCGCGCGUCGCCGCCGCGGGCGCAGGGUGGCCAACGCCGUCGGCCUGGGACGAGUUGCCCGACCUGCCGGUGCCGGGCGACGCGGGCUUCUUCGAGGACGACAUCGAGAGCGUGCUCUUCGACGCGCCCGGCGACGCCGAACUGCCGCGCGCCGCCGUGAUCAGCUCGCUGGCGUCUGGCCGCUGGUGGUGA